rnacentral:rRNA from 1 species
UACGUAGGGGGCAAGCGUUGUCCGGAUUUAUUGGGCGUAAAGAGCGUGUAGGCGUCCUGACAGGUCUGCUGUGAAAACUCGAGGCUCAACCUCGAGAUGUCGGCGGAAACCGUCUGGCUAGAGUCCGGAAGAGGAGAGUGGAAUUCCUGGUGUAGCGGUGAAAUGCGCAGAUAUCAGGAAGAACACCUAUGGCGAAGGCAGCUCUCUGGGACGGUACUGACGCUGAGACGCGAAAGCGUGGGGAGCGAACAGG